CCUAGAUCCACUAGAUAAGAAAAAUAUUACAAAACAAGUAGGUUUGACUUUGUUUUACACUUACUUUUCUUGUAAACCUACUUGUUUUGUAAUAUUUUUUCUCAUCUAGUAGAUCUAGGAAAUUGCCCCCGCUCUAUAUGUGUUGUAAUUU